rnacentral:snRNA from 8 species
AUACUUACCUGGCAAGUGAGAUACCGUGAUCAAGAAGGCGGUUCACCCAGGGCGAGGCUCAGCCAUGCAUUCCGGCUGUGCUGACCCCUGCGAAUUUCCCAAAUGUGGAAAUCUCGAUUGCAUAAUUUAUGGUAGUGGGGGACUGCGUUCGCGCUCUCCCCUG